rnacentral:rRNA from 1 species
UAGAUACCCUGGUAGUCCACGCUGUAAACGAUGAUAACUAACCGUCGGCGAUAGACAGUCGGUGGCCAAGCGAAAGCGAUAAGUUAUCCACCUGGGGAGUACGACCGCAAGGUUGAAACUCAAAGGAAUUGACGGGGGCCCGCACAAGCGGAGGAACAUGUGGUUUAAUUCGAUGAUACGCGAGGAACCUUACCCGGGCUCGAACGGCAAAGGAAGUGAUCCAGAGAUGGUGACGUCCCUUCGGGGACCU